AGAGUCACUAUGGGAUCUUGUUAAAAUGCAUAUUCAGGUUCACUGUAGCUGGGGAAGGGAGCUAAGCUUCUUCAUUUCUAACAAGUUCUCAGGUAUGGAAGCU
rnacentral:pre_miRNA from 1 species